CUUAACACAUGCAAGUCGAGCGGAUGUAGCAAUACAUCAGCGGCAGACGGGAUAGUAACACGUGGGAACGCGCCCUUUGGUUCGGAAUAACUCAGGGAAACUUGAGCUAAUACCGGAUAAGCCCUUACGGGGAAAGAUUUAUCGCCAUAGGAACGGCCCGCGUCGGAUUAGCUAGUUGGUGAGGUAAUGGCUCACCAAGGCGACGAUCCGUAGCUGGUCUGAGAGGAUGACCAGCAUCACUGGGACUGAGACACGGCCCAGACUCC
rnacentral:rRNA from 2 species